CAAUUAGGUAUUUAUAAGAAAAACAUUUUUUAAUGCACUCUGCGAGUGCCGCCUUGUAUAAGGUAGCGUUAGCGCCGCAAGCGAACUCAUAGAGGUGGCCUUUAAUGGUUUUACGUCAGAAAUGGCAUUUUAAUAGUUGCACCUCUGGAAACAGAGAAGAAAAACGUGUUUGAACACCUUGUUGGACACGUGAAAUUCCUUCUUAGAAGACUUUCCACGUGCCACUGUCAGACUUGAAAAAAACGGCUCGCUAACAACAGAAAAUACAAUGGGACCGCCUGGAGCCGCCAGACGUCAAAAUACCCAAACCAUGCUCGACGUGGAAACACAAGUUUUACAUUCAGGACGGGGGCAGAAAUGCAGAAACAAAAAAACGAAACAAGGUGACACCUAUCCUGCACACCUUCCUGGGUGCGCACUUGCAAAUGCUGCGAGGACAAUCUUAAGACCUAGAUUCUACUGAAAAAGGCGUUCUAUCCAUCCAGACAAAGGCUGGCACCAGUUGACAAGACCGGUUCCGACGUGAGUUGAAUUUAUUUGUUCCUUGCUACUAGGGCGUUCAUAAACAUAUGCCACACAU